GAAAACCUCUAUUGGAUGAAGGCUAUUCUCUGGGAUGGUGUGCUCUAUGGCUAGAGAGCCUCGUUGUUAGCUUGGUACUCCAGCAGGCCAACUCUGUGAAGACAGAUACAGGGUACCAGCCAGGCUAGGAUGUCAGCUUCCAGGAUGUAGAAAAUGACUGGGAAGACAGUAUAGAAGGCCGGUACUGCGCAGAUACUAUCCUUGUGCAAGGUUUCCACCACUUGUUCUAUGACACACAAUGAGCUACUUUCCCAGGAACAGAAGGGAAGAGAAUGUUUGUACAAUCAGCUUUGGUGAGCUGAGAUAUCUGAUUAUUCCUGCACUUGUCCUGCAUCCUGAUGACUGCUUCAGUAUGUAGAAAAUUUCCCAUUGUCAGUGGGAGAACCUUUGUGAUUUAUUACCUUUGCCCUUCAGUAAAUACAGUCAGUCUUCUCACUCAAGGCAAGUUAAUAAAUUCAGAGUGAAUUUUUAGAUGGCAAGAUAAAUGAAGACUACAGCAAUGGAAAUUUUUGUUCAUUGUAGUCUAACUUUCAGAAAUAAAAUUUUCGUAUUUUUAAAAC